rnacentral:tRNA from 1 species
GCCUGGGUGGCUCAGUCGGUUAAGUGUCUGACUUAGGCUCAGGGCAUGCAGGAUCUCAUGGUUCGUGAGUUCGAGCCCCACAUCAGGCU